rnacentral:rRNA from 1 species
UGCGAGUCGAAUGUAGCAAUACAUGGCGUACUGCUCAGUAACACGUGGACAACCUACCCUUGAGUCGGGGAUAAACCCGGGAAACUGGGUAUAAUACCCGAUAGUCCUCGGCUGCUGGAAUGCAUCGAGAACGAAAGCUCCGGCGCUCAAGGAUGGGUCUGCGGCCUAUCAGGUAGUAGUGGGUGUAGCGUACCUACUAGCCUACGACGGGUACGGGUUGUGAGAGCAAGAGCCCGGAGAUGGAUUCUGAGACACGAAUCCAGGCCCUACGGGGUGCAGCAGGCGCGAAAACUUUACAAUGCUGGAAACAGCGAUAAGGGGACCUCGAGUGCCAGGUUACAAAUCUGGCUGUCGUGAUGCCUAAAAAGCAUUGCAUAGCAAGGGCCGGGCAAGACCGGUGCCGGCCGCCGCGGUAACACCGGCGGCUCGAGUGGUAACCGUUAUUAUUGGGUCUAAAGGGUCUGUAGCCGGCCGGAUAAGUCUCUUGGGAAAUCUGGCAGCUUAACUGUCAGGCUUUCAGGAGAUACUGUCUGGCUCGAGGCCGGGAGAGGUGAGAGGUACUUCAGGGGUAGGGGUGAAAUCUUGUAAUCCUUGAAGGACCACCAGUGGCGAAGGCGUCUCACCAGAACGGACCUGACGGCAAGGGACGAAAGCUAGGGGCACGAACCGGAUUAGAUACCCGGGUAGUCCUAGCCGUAAACGAUACUCGCUAGGUGUCGGCCACGGUGCGACCGUUGUCGGUGCCGUAGGGAAGCCGUGAAGCGAGCCACCUGGGAAGUACGGCCGCAAGGCUGAAACUUAAAGGAAUUGGC